rnacentral:lncRNA from 1 species
GUCCACCUGUGUAAGGAUUACUAGUAAAAUAACACCUAAAGCCCUCCUACCAUCAGAAUUCAUAUGUGUACCUUUUGAAACCACAUCGUGCAUACCUUUCUGAGACCACAUAAGACAUUACAUUGCAUCCAUACAUGACAAGAUAUUGCAUUUUCAUAAAAAAAUCUUUUGGCAUAUAAAAAAAAUAGAAUCUCAUGCAUCAGCAUUUAUCAGCAUGCAUGCACAUCAUUUCUGCAAAAACAAAAAAAA